rnacentral:rRNA from 1 species
AAACCUGCCUCAUAGACUGGGACAACUAUUGGAAACGAUAGCUAAUACCGGAUAACAGCAUUAACUGCAUGGUUGAUGUUUAAAAGUUGGUUUUGCUAUCACUAUGAGAUGGCUUUGCGGUGCAUUAGCUAGUUGGUGGGGUAAAGGCCUACCAAGGCGACGAUGCAUAGCCGACCUGAGAGGGUGAUCGGCCACACUGGGACUGAGACACGGCCCAG